rnacentral:lncRNA from 1 species
UUUUAAACACACAAACACACACAUACACACAGCUGAUGCUGUGUUUGAGAACAAGCUUAACACAAUUCAACAGCAACAGCAUAUAAUCUCUCACUGUAAGAUUAAUCUCUGUAUCUCUGUCUUUAUUCUUACAUAUAUUAAUGUUUCUAUACUGCCCUUUUUGUCACUGAAUCUAGGGUUUCAAGAUUCGAGCUCAUCAGUCUUGCAAUUAGUUUUUAGUGUAAAGAUUCUUGGUUUUGGUGAAAAAAGAUUACACCCGUUUGGCUGAAUUGCAGAGAUUUGUGUUUAGAGACCUAAAGUGGUAUUUUUGUGAUUAAUGCUUCUUAUUUUUUUAUUUUUUUUUUAAUUUUGGUUUUUAUCGGUGUAUUAGUCUUGUACUUGGAUUUUAGCGUAAAGAUUCUUGAUUUGGUGUUCUGGUAAAAAAGAAUUAUACCCAUUUGGCUGAUUUAUUGAGAUUUGUGUUUAGAGACCUGAAGGCGGUGUUUUUGUAAUUUAUUUGGUUCUUGGUUCUUGAUAUUUGAUUUAUAUUUACGGUUUUAAUGGGUUUUAGUUAAGUUCAAUUGUGUAAGUUCUUGACUGUUGUGUUUUGUAUUGUGGUUGCAAUUCUUGUUAUUUGUUGAAAAAAGAUUACCCGUGUGUCUAAAAUUGUUUAGGUGUGAGUUUAGAGAGCUAUAGACUAAAGGUGAUGUUUUUAUGUUAAUUCAGGUUCUUGAAUGUUUUGCGGCUGUGAAGUAUUUACUGGAUUUUAGGAAGUAGGGUGUGAGGUUUUCUUAUGGCGUCGAAUAAUAAUAAUAAUGCAAUGAAGAAUGUUGGGGUUCCGGCUGCGUUUGGGAAUUCAGGGGUGAUUUCUCAGACUACAC